rnacentral:lncRNA from 1 species
UUUUUUUUUUUAACUUUUUUUUUUCUGGGAUAAAAAUGUUGCCUAAAAAAAAAAGGUGCCUCAUAAAGCACCUUCGCUGCUUUAAGCAUUUUUAAGUUAUUGUGCAACCAGACAACUGAUAUGAAGCACAGAAACUCCUCUAGUUAAAGUGGUCACUGCAGAGCUUUCCUCGAUGUGAACGAAACUCUACUGGGAAGCAAAGGUGUGACGACUCUGCCCAACGCCAACAGAGGGCGGUAGAUACAGGGAUCUGUCACCUGAGUCCAGUCAAAUAUUUUCAGGCACAGGCAAGAAACUCUGAUGCACUCAGGGGGCACAUCUCCCAACAACAUUUGUGGGCCAUGGCCCAACAUCCGUAUGACAGGAUGUAUGUAAGUAUCAGACACAUUCUAGAACGUUUAAUCUUUCCACUUUGACACGUAUAUAUUCAUAAUGACCAAGGCAAAAUGUACGUGUCACGCUAUCAUUUAUAUAUGAUCCAAAGUCAGAAAACGAUCACAGAGGAGAGAAUUUACUUGUUAUUACACACGUCUGGGUGUUCUGUUGAUGGCUCUGGGAUCGUCAUAUGAGUAAAAUAAUUCAUAAAUUAUUACUUAUCCUAUAACAUUUUUUUGUGGCUUCCAUUUCAGUAAAAUCACAAAAUAUAUCAUUGCAGUCAGAUCUUUUGCAUAAUUUAUAUUCCAUCGACCAAAGACUAAAAUCUUUUUUAUAAAAAGCCAGAUAAGGAGUUCCGUGUGGCAAAGCAGGUUAAGGACCUGGUCCUGGCAUUGCAGUGGCCCUGGUCACUGCUGUGGAACAGGUUCAAUCCCUGGCUAGGAACUUCUACAUGCUGCAAGUGCAGCAAAAAAAAAAAAAAAAAAAAAAAAAAAAGAAAAAAAAGAGCCAGAUAAUAAAUGUUUUAGGCUGUGUGAUCUACAUAUGAUCUCUCUCAUAUGUUCUUCUUGGUUUGUUUUAUAAACCUUUAAAAAUAUAAACACAAUUCGUGGAGUUCCUACUGUGGUAAAACGGGAUCAGUAGUGUCUCUAUAGUGUUAGGAUUCAGGUUCAAUCCCCGCCAGGCACAGUGGGUUAAAGGAUCUGGCAUUGCCACAGCUGUGGCAUAGGUCACAACUGUAGCUCAGAUCUGAUCCCUGGCCCAGGAACUCCAUAUGUGGCAGGGCAGUCAAUUAAAAAAAAAACAAAAAAACUUAUUUGAUGGGGUAAAUAUAGCCCUUAGUUUGUUUGAAAUAAACUUCUGUCAUUUGUUGACCACUGAUAUUGACAAUAAUCAUCUAAAAUAUGAAAAAAAGUCAAACACAAUGUAUAAAAAAUUUGAACAUAGUCAUUAAAUAAUUAAAUGUUGUUAAAAAAUAAAUGUUUCACAAAUGUUUUAAAAUAUUUUUCUACCCCAACAUUCAAAAGUACUUAAGACGGAAAGGUAAAAUGCAAAGGAUAAUUGAGAUCAAGCUUUAUAUAAAAAUUAUUUUUAAAAAAGCUGAAAUAUAUACAUAUAUUCAAAAGUAUUCAUUAAAGCCCGCUAUCAUUUCCCAGGUUAGGGGUCAAAUCGGAGAUGCAGCUGGGGGCCUACGUCACAGCCACAGCAAACUGGGAUCCGAUUGCAUCUGCAACCUACACUGCAGCUUGAGGUGUAUGAGAAAAUGUCUCAAUAAAACGUAGAAAGGAGAGACCCCAGCCAUGAUGACUAAGCAAAGUCUAGCCAACUGCCCCAACCAGUCCUCCCCCAUGCAUCUGCUUCCGCGUCGACUACCUUGCCUGACGUCACUCCCGUCCAACCAGCCAAGCUUGGACCCGGAAGACGUAGCCCAUAAAAGCCUUGUGAAACCCUUCUUCCGGACUCAGACUCUGGAGAGCGAGCUCCUCUGAGCUCGCCGGCGUAAUAAACCCGAGUUCUCCAACUCUCCGAGUGCUCGCUUGGUUUCUCACCGGGUAAAAGAGCUGAUCCACUGCAGCCACAGAGCUGCUGGAGCUGGUACGCUACAGCCACGGGGCUGUCGCCAGAGCUGAUACGCUGCAGCGCAGGGCUGCUGGGUAUCUGCCGUAACAGAGGCAAAGCCAGAUACUUAACACACAGCACAAGGCCAGGGAUUGAACCCACAUCCUCAUAUAUACUAGUCGGGUUCUUAACCUGCUGAGCCACAAUGGGAACUCCAAAAUAAACCUAUUUUCAAUUCCCGAAUUCAGUGUUCAUCUAGCUGCCAAGGUCAAAAGUCUCAUCAUGUUACAUCAAAACCAAUACACGAGCAAGUUGAAGAGUCACAGGACUUGUUUAGGGUUACAGAAUGGUCCUCUGCCACCAGGUGCACCUGUACAACAGUGUGCUCUUUGGAAGCCCCUCUAGAAUAAAUAAUUGGGACAAUGAGAAACUAGAAAGGGGACACUCUAGGGAUUGCUGUUGAGACACACUGCGCAAGUAUCUGAUGCAGUUAUGGAGUGGGGGGGAGCUUCGUCACUUAAUUCACUUACGUCUUCUCUUUCCUAAGUGCUCCCUCUGCCCACAUUCUCCCUGAGCUAUGGAACAGUAUUGCUUGAUGUUGGCAGCAGGGCAACAGCAAACCUUGGAGGCAUUUAGAAGCAAGUGCCUUCUGCUUUGCAGACAGGACCAGAGAUGUGAAGUGGGGCCUGAAUGGUGUCAGUCACAGUGUGUUUAAUGCCAUGAGUUGCACAAUGCCACAGCUGAAUACCCGAUGUUGAGGGGCCGACUUGCCCAUGAUUUUUAAUAAAUUCUGCCCUUACCAAUUACUGACAUGUAGGAAAGUGGACCUGGUGUGGCUUCUGUCUGAUUUCUUAAAAGAAAUGCUAACUUCUGUGUCUUGAUGUGGAAAAAUUUGAGAUUACACAUAAUCCUAAUUAAAAACUAAAAAGCAUACUUGGAGGGCUCACAUCUUUAGGCUAGACUGAUUCCCAAAGCCACCACGAUCAGCCUUCUGGUCUACCACAUUUUCCUGUUGAUGUUUAUUUUUGAAGCAUUUAUGAUCAUUCUUCAUUCUGGAUAAAUACUCAAACAGUGAGAGUCAAAAGCACGGAAGGAGAGAUGUGUGAUUAGGUUGGAAAAGAAAGUGAAGGCCAUGCUUACACUGAUGUAUACAAAGGGGUUACCUGUGUUCUUUCACAUAAACUUAGCAGAACAUGGACUCAGCAACGUCCUAUUUACAAGUGGAGAAGCCUCCAAACCUGGACGUGUUGGUCUGUUUCUGGCUCUGCCACUGAGUUCAGAUAACUUUUUAGACAUCGUCAUUGUACUUCAGCUCAUUUUUGGUGAAAGGAGAGUACGUGGCAAAAAAAAAUUAGAUGAGAGAGUAAAACGCUCAAGUUAUAGAUCUGAAGGGAGCAUGUCCAGGAGAUGUGAAGACUCAGGACGUGGGGUUACCUCCAGUGGUUCUGGAAGAACAAACACACAAGAUAUCUGACCUGAGAGAUGGGGAAGGAGAAAGAAAAGGGGAAGGCAUGGAGUUCUGUUUCAGGCAUUUUGGAGCACAGGUGAGAUACCUAUAGAGAGGUUAAGGGUUAGACUGUCCCAAGUUUGAAACCCAACUUCAGUUCUUACAAGCUGGAAAAAGCUGCUUCUCCCUCUGAGCUUCUGUUGCAUCAUUUGCAAGAGCGUGAUAAUGAUGACCUAUCUCAAAGGGCCGCUUUGGGCAAUAAGUGAGCUAAUCAAAGUCAAGGACUAGUGCACAUUCCUCGGUAAGUACUCAAUAAAGCUGGCUAUUGUUACAAGAAUCAUUGGGAUUAGUGAUGGGAACUUGGGAAUCAUCAGCAGGAAGGCAAUAGCUGAGGAGGGGGGCAUAUGUAUUGGGGAGCAUAUGGAUUUGGGGGAUUAGAGGAAGGAAGUGAAAACUUUAAAGGGAUCAGAAGAGGAACAGUCAAGUAGGAGAAAGGCCAAGAGAGAGUUACAGAAAGACACCCGCCCCCCGGGUGAGACAAUAACAUAGAGAUUGUAUUUUCAGAACAGUGUGAAGAGUGAGAGUGAGCUAGAAUGGCAUUUUAUAAACCUUAGGGUACUGGGAAGAGGGGAGAUGUUUAAAGUGCAGAGUCUUAGAAAGCUUGACUCAGUAGUUCUUGGCUGUGGCCCAGGAAUCCACAGGGAUUUCAACUGCAGGUGGGCAACAAGCCACACUUGGAAGAACUCUGUGCUAAGACUGAACAUGCAGCCAGGGAGAGGUGACUCAGACAGUGGCCCCCAUCCUUUCAAGGUGGUCGGUUAGAGUGCAUGUGUUUCACCCUCGACUAUCCCCUGCAUUGAAGAAAGUAACGUAUUCUCAAGAGAAAGCAGGUUGCUUUCAAUAGGUUGUGUGGUGAGUAAAGGAAGAGCUGGUGGCUGGUGGUGUUUAUUUCCAUACAUUUAUAAUGGCCAAGAGAACUUAAAUAUCUGUAAUCCUAGAUUUGGAUGGGUGAAUGAAACUGGUUGAUCCUCAAGUAUUAAACCAACCUUGCAUUCCUGAAAUCAUCCAACUUGGCCACAGACAUAUCGAUCAGACCUCAGUCUCGGGGUUCAGGCAGACAACAUCCAAACAACACAACAGCACUCUGAGAUUUGGAAGUAAACACCAGGGCUUCUAGAUCAGUGAUCUUCAAACUAUUUUUCUCUCAUACUCCAUAAUUUUUUUUAAAGUAUGUACUCCCUUACAGGUUUUAAAGUUGACAUCAAGAAGAUUUUCAUAUGUUUACGUAGCUUAAAAGGAUUCUGGUACAUUAUAAUUAUUUGUUACAUUUCUUUAAAUAUAUUGAAAGUAACCUAAAUAUCAUGUAUCCUUGAUUUCCACUGUCAUCUAAUUAAAUCACACGAGGGUGUUCCCAUCAUGGCUCAGUGGUGAUGAAUCCAACUACUAUCUAUGAGGACAUGGGUUCGCUCCCUGGCCUCGUUCAGUGGGUUAAGGAUCCAGAGUUGCUGGGAGCUGUGGUGUAGGGUCACAGAUGUGGCUCGAAUCUGGCAUGGCUGGGGCUAUGGCGUAGGCCAGCAGCCACAGCUCCAAUUCGAUCCCUAGCCUGGGACCUUCCAUAUGCCACUAGCGCAGCCCUAAAAAGCAAAAUCACACCUGAGUAAGCUGUUCUUUAGUAGUUGAAAUUUUACAUCCUUAUUUAAGGAGUUUUUCUCCUUAGGUUUGCACUUCAAUUCCAUAUCCCCAUGGAAUUUUAUAUUAGUGUAAUAUUGAUCAUCUUAUCAAACGGCUCAGCAAGGAAAUUUACAUAUAUGUUAACAAAGUUAACUUCCUUUAGUCGGAACUGUUACAAUGAUUAAUUUUUGUAUAAUUGAUGAAAACUGGGUGAAUGUCCUACAAAGUCAGAAUGUUGUUGAAGCUGGGUCACAGGUGCAGAGAUUAUCACUAUGAUUCUCACUCCUCUGUAUAUUUGAAAUUUUCCACAAUAAAAAGUUAAAAAAUAUAAAAUGUUGUUGGCAGUAGCAUUUUAAUAAGAUGGAUGGUCCCUUUCUUUGGUAUAGAUCAAGUAACAAUCACUGGCUUUGGAGUUCCCAGGCCAGGAAUGGAACCCUCCCUAGAGCAGUGAUAAUCCCAGAGAGGUACCAGGGAACUCCUCUGCACCCUAUUUUCAUGCCUGUGUAUCUUCGAGUGUGACUACGUCAAUAUAAAUACAUAGGUAUAUACACAUGCAGAGAGACACAUGCUUUUUAUUUUUUAAAAUGUCCAUAAUCCACUCAUCUGUCGAUGGACAUUUAGGUUGUUUCCAUGUCUCGGCUACUGUGAGUAGCGCUGCAAUGAACAUACGGGUACAUGUGUCUUUUUCAAGGAAAGUUUUGUCUGGAUAUAUGCCCAAGAGUGAGAUUUUAGUACCUCAGAAUUUAGUUUUCUGAGGUACUGCCAUACCGUCUUCCAUAGUGGUUGCACCAAUUUACAUUCCCACCAGCAGUGAAGGAGGGUUUGACAGAUGAAUGGAUUAAUAUACACAAUGGAAUAUUACUCAGCCAUAAAAAAGAACAAAAUAAUGCCACUUGCAGCAACAUGGAUGGAACUGGAGACUCUCAUGCUAAGUGAAGUAAGUCAGAAAGACAAUUACCAUAUGAUAGCACUUUUAUCUAGAAUCUAAUAUAAGGCACAAAGGAACCACAGAAAAGAAAAUCAUGGACUUGGAGAACAGACUUGUGGUUGCCAAGGGGGAAGGGGAGGGAAGGGAAUGGACUGGGAAUUUGGGGUUAAUAGAUGCAAACUAUUGCCUUUGGAAUGGAUUAGCAAUGAGAUCCUGCUGUGUAGCACUGGGAACUAUAUCUAGUCACUUAUGACGGAGCAGGAUCAUGUGAGAAAAAGGAAUGUGUAUGUGUACGUGUGACUGGGUCACCUUGCCGUACAGUAGAAAAUUGACAGAACACUGUAAACCAACUAUAAUGGGAAAAAAAAUCAUGAAAAAAAUAAAAUGUCUUCAGAGUAUUCCAUGAAAUUAAUGAAUGGUAAGUUAUCUAGCCAAACUCUUCCCUCCUUGGGGUCAUUUAAAUCAUUUCCAGGAGUUCCCAUCAUGGCUCAAUGGACGCAAAUCUGACUAGCAUCCACAAGGAUGCAGGUUCGAUCCCUGGCCCUGCUCCGUGGGUUAAGGAUCCUGCACUACUGUGAGCUGUGGUGUAAGUCACAGACACAGCAUGGAUCUGGCAUUGCUGUGGCUGUGGUGUAGGCUGCCAUGGUAACACCAGAUCCAAGCCGCAUCUGUGACCUACAUCGCAACUUGCAGCAACAUCGGAUCCCUAACCCACUGAAGUGAUGCCAGGGAUCGAACCCACAUCCUCACACAC